UACGGAAGGCAGCAGUGGGGAAUAUUGCACAAUGGGCGCAAGCCUGAUGCAGCCAUGCCGCGUGUAUGAAAAAGGCCUUCGGGUUGUAAAGUACUUUCAGUCGUGAGGAAGGUGUUAAGGUUAAUAACCUUAGCAAUUGACGUUAGCGACAGAAGAAGCACCGGCUAACUCCGUGCCAGCAGCCGCGGUAAUACGGAGGGUGCGAGCGUUAAUCGGAAUUACUGGGCGUAAAGGGCACGCAGGCGGUUAAUUAAGUUGGAUGUGAAAUCCCCGGGCUUAACCUGGGAAUGGCAUUCAAGACUGGUUAGCUAGAGUCUUGUAGAGGGGGUAGAAUUCCAUGUGUAGCGGUGAAAUGCGUAGAGAUGUGGAGGAAUACCGGUGACGAAGGCGGCCCCCUGGGACAAAGGACUGACGCUCAUGUGCGAAAGCGUGGGGAGCAAAC
rnacentral:rRNA from 1 species